rnacentral:lncRNA from 1 species
GCGGGUCUCCGGGACGGUCUGGGGUGGCUAGGGGGUGCGGCGCCCGGCGGGGAUCCGAAUAGGGGGCAGCCAGCGUACGGUGUGGGAACUCGGGCCGGCGCGGGAGCCUGCGGUCAAGGGGGCUCAGCACUUUGUAAACAAGGAGUGGGAAGCGUUAAAAAAACGCUCGUAGGGAAAACCAGGGAAGGGCGGACAUAGCGCCAGGGUGGCAGGAAUGGAGCCCGGGCAAAGACGGCCCUGCCGUGGGCCCUAGCGCUCCCUUCGUCGGCCCCUGGAGCUGCGGCCGGGCGUGGGUCAGUCGUUCACGGGCCCGGAAAUUCCACUGGGACACCCGAAAAAGUGCUGCACGCCGCCUGAGGGAGACGGAAAGGGACCCGGGGCACUGAGUCCAUUGCUGGGGUCGCCAGGCCUAAUCUCGGAUGAUACCACAAUGCCCACAGUAUGCUGAUCACCACCAACAGCAGAUGGAGGCGGAUAAAAAGAGCUUUCUCGCUAGUGUGUUGUUUUAAAAGAACCUGAUGGAGAGCUAUGAUCAUAUGUAACACUGCCUCUAGUUAGUUUUUAAAUAACACUUGUAGCAUAUGUCUGGCGCCUGUGCUCAGGAUUUCAACAGAUCAUUUUCAGGAUUUUGACAUUUAACUGGCUUCUUAUGAAGUAGCAGAGAGUUCCAAAAUGUAGAACUGAAAUAUAAGCUCCACACACAGGCAGAGAUUUGAGUCUGAUUUGUUUGUGUGUAUAUCCCAAGUGCCUAAAAGCACUUGGCAUACGGUAGAUGCACAAUAGAUUCCUGUUAAAUGUAUUUUUAGGUGAAAAUGUAGUCUGUACUUUGCAUAAACUUGUCCUACUUUCUUCCUAGUUCUUUAAUAAGUAACCUACUUUUCAUUAUAUAUUUUUAAAUGAAAAAACAAAAUUAUAUCUGGCAUCACUACUUUGGCUGGGCUAUAAAGAAACAGGAAUUUGGCAGUAUGUAUUAAAAUUACAAAUGCAUAUAUACUCGGAGCCUUGAAUUUCAUUUCCAGGGAUUUAUGCCACAGAUGUUUCCACACAUAAGAAAUAACAAGGUGUUUCUUAUUGUUGAGAAUAGCAAAAGAUUGGAAACAAGCUAAGUAUCUAUCAACAGGAUACUAGUUAAAUUAUGAUAGAGCCAUAUGUUUGAACAUUGUGCAGCUGUUAAUCAAAAAAACAGAAAGUUCUUUGUUUUAACAUUAAGAUCUCCAAGAUUUUUUUGUUAAGUGAAAAACACAGAAAUACGGUACAGAAUAUUGUAUUAAAUUGUAUAUGCAUUAAACUAGGACAAAGUAACAUGAGGUAUGAGAACACAGUAGAUGGAAAGCAUAAGAAAUAGACUUCAUUGUAUUCAUAUUUAAACUUUUUGAUAUUCAAAAUUUCAGAAUGUUUUAUCUAUUCAAAUAGUGAAAAUGUUUAAAAUUUUUCUGGCAUCUUUUUGUUGUUGUUGUUGUUAUUAAAACAUUCAGGCUUCUUCUGUUUUAUAAAAGUUUACCUGAGUAAAAUAAACAUAUCAAGGAGGCUGGGUGCAGUGGCUCAUGCCUAUAAUCCCAGCACUUUGGGAGGCUGAGGCGGGCAGAUUGCUUGAGCUCAGGAAUUCAAGACCAACCUGGGCAACAUGGCAAGACCCCAUCUCUAAUGAAAAUACAAAAAAAAAAAAAUAGCCAGGCAUGGUGGUGUGUGCCUGUGGUCUCAGCUACUCCAGAGGCUGAAGUAGGAGGAUCACUUCAACCCAGGAGGUGGAGGUUGCAGUUAGUCAAGAUUGUGACACUGCACUCCAGCCUGAGUAACAGAGUGAGACCAUGUCUCAAAUAAAUAAAUAAAUAAAUAAAUAAAUAAAAUCAGGUAAGCUAGUGCUCAUAGGCAAACUUUUGAAAACCUCAGAGUUUUUGUUCAGAUUGAAUGAUGUCUGUUUCUUACCGUAAUAAUUUAAAAUCCAGGUACAUUUAUUUUGAGGCUUAGUAUACAUUUUAUCAAAUGUAUAUAAAUUUUCAGAAGUACUCUAUUUUUCUUCAAGUUUAGUAGAGCCUUCCUUGAACAAGUUUUAACAAAUUGGAUCCUCCA